GUAAUUGGGAAUGAGAUUUGUAUGCCCCAGAGUUUGCCGUGUCUUGGGGCAAACAGUGAGACCCAGAUCAAUCCAUCUCCUUAUAAAAGCCCUCUCAUAGGUUUGACCAGAUGCAACAAUUACAGGGUCAGUCAUCAACUCAAGUGAAAGAGGGCAGCAAAAGUCGGGAGGUAUUGACACAGUGGUACAGCUCUGGGACUGUUUUACAGUGACAAAGCAAU
rnacentral:misc_RNA from 1 species